AGAACUUUCCAGAGAUGGAUUGGUGCCUUCGGGAACUCUGAGACAGGUGCUGCAUGGCUGUCGUCAGCUCGUGUUGUGAAAUGUUGGAUUAAGUCCCGCAACGAGCGCAACCCUUAUCCUUUGUUGCCAGCGGUUAGGCCGGGAACUCAAAGGAGACUGCCAGUGAUAAACUGGAGGAAGGUGGGGAUGACGUCAAGUCAUCAUGGCCCUUACGAGUAGGGCUACACACGUGCUACAAUGGCGCAUACAAAGAGAAGCGACCUCGCGAGAGCAAGCGGACCUCAUAAAGUGCGUCGUAGUCCGGAUUGGAGUCUGCAACUCGACUCCAUGAAGUCGGAAUCGCUAGUAAUCGUGGAUCAGAAUGCCACGGUGAAUACGUUCCCGGGCCUUGUACACACCGCCCGUCACACCAUGGGAGUGGGUUGCAAAAGAAGUAGGUAGCUUAACCUUCGGGAGGGCGCUUACCACUUUGUGAUUCAUGACUGGGGUGAAGUCGUAACAAGGUAGGCGUAGUGCU
rnacentral:rRNA from 1 species